CCCAGUGGUGAUGAUGCUGAGAACAAGAAGAAGCAGCAAGUUGAAGCUGAGAGGAAGCGGUAGGAUGAUGAGCUUGAGGCUGAGAAGAGAAAAGCAGAAGAGGAGAGAAAAGCAAAAGAUGAGAGAAUGGGGCAGGAUGAUGAGUUUGAGGCUGAGGAGAGGAGCAUAAGAUGAAAGGAAGCGACAGGAAAAUGAGCUUGAGGCUGAGGAGAGAAUAGCAGAAGCUGAGAACAAGAAAAAGCAGCAAGAGGAAGCUGAGAGGAAGCGGUAGGAUGAUGUGCUUGAGGCUGAGGAGCGAAAAGCAGAAGAUGAGAGUAUGCGGCAAGAUGAUGAGCUUGAGGGUUGAGGCUGAGGAGAGAAGAGCGGAAGAUGAAAGAAAGCGGCAUGAUGAUGAGCUUGAGGCUGAGGAAAGAAUAACAAAAGCUGAGAGAAAGCGGCAGGAUGAUGAGCUUUCAGCAUGGAUAGCUGCUGAGGAGCUAGGACUUCAAGCUCUUUAUGAGAGGAACAAAUAAGCUGACAUAGAGGAGCUGCUAAGUUUUUGUAACCAAUACCAUCUCGACAUGAAAUUCAAGAUUCUGGCAAAAGUAGUAGCCAGAAAAGAAAAGUUCGUUGUUGAUUGCAAGUUCUGGAAGGCACGUGGGCACUAUGCCUCAGAUGUAAACCCGAAGAUAUUUUAUGUGAGAAAGGGGUUGUGUAUGAUUGUUUCAGAUGUUCAAUUUCAAACGAAAUGACUUUUAUAGUUGAAUUUUAGCCUGAUGCUUAUACCGUUAGGUGGGAUGAGGAAGGAAGCCGUGAGAUUUGGAGGAAUAAUUAUUAUGAAAUUGUUGCAGAAGUGGACGGAGAGGAAGAAGAGAAGAAGAUAAGGACCAGCAGUGGCGUUGAGGAAGUCCUCGGGUCUGGGUCCGAAAAUAGCAACCCGUAGAAGAAAGUAGAUGGAUGAGAUUAGUUUAUGUGAUGUUUUAAUUUUAUUUCGUCUAAUCGUGUCUUGUAAUGGAACAUUAAAUUUAGUCUAAUCUUGUUAAACCCUUCUUAUUCUCACCUAUACUAUCAAACUCUUGAUAUAUCCCCCGAAACAUAUAAAAUCUUGAUAUAUGGUGUUUUUAAUAUCAUUAUAUGUGUUCUUUGAGUUAAUUCUCAGUCCUAAUUCGUGCUUAUUUGAUAUCAUUCCAGGUUUAGAGCAGGUGAAAGAGUAAAGAAGAGAGUGCCAUGAAGGAAGAAGUCAUUUUGGAAUAUCUAACGCAGAACAGCCAGUCGGAUCAAUCCGAAGAUUGUUCCCAAAAAGAGAAAGCGACUGACUGUUCCCGACUAUUAAGGAAACCUCCAAGAUUUCAGGGGUUUGCCCUAGAUUUUCUGUCCUUUCUCAGCUGCCGGCGCCUCCAUAUAAAAAGCCUAUGCUAUCAUUUCUAAUUCUUUACGCUAGUUUUACAAGAGUCCUAGAACUAUUUUGGAUUUAGCAACUUGUAAGGGAGAAUGCUUCAUCUCUCAUUUUCACGAGAAUAUCAUCUUGAACCCUUGUCUUUCUACUUUAUUUUAUAUGAAGUAUUAUUCAGAAAUCAUGUAUGUGUCAUCUUGCUUUAUGAUUGAGUAGUCGGCUAAGCUUACUUAGGGUUUAGGGUGUCAAUCGCAUGAGCUAAACGCUUCGAUCGAUAUUAUAAUCGAAUAAUCGGUCGACGGUUCAACAAGUGUAUCGAUCGAUAUUCCUAUAGAAUCAUCGAUCGACACUUAUAUCUGGUCAAUAGACAAACCUAGAAAGCGAGAGCCUAUCGGUUUGUUUAUAAGUGUUGAGCUCUAUAAUAUCAUGCAUACAACUUGUUAGGAAUCUGUAGGAUUAUAAUCCUGAUUACCUGAAUAAAAACCCUAAGUCUAGCUAUUUUCAUCUAAGUACCAAAACCCCCCAAUCAAAUCAAUCGAGCAACGGCCUUGCUCACAAACCUGCUUUUACAUUUAAUCAUAAUCUAGAUAUACUAGCUUAAUCAAUCUGAUUAGAUAUACUAGGUUCCCUAGCUUCCUGUGAAUUCGAUCCCUAAGUACUACAACUGAACAUCUUAUUUGAGAAAGUAAUUCAUUCCUUACGGUAAUUUGAAUGAGAUAAAUUAUUAGAUUCACAAACCAGAAUAUAUAAAUAUCUUAGUUUUUAGUAUCAGCUUGAGAAGGUGUAAGUAAUAAUUGAUUGGCUCUAUUGAAGUUAAGAAAUGUUCAGUUUCUCACUCGGUUUUAUACUUGGAUGUGUCAUCAUUAUGUUGUUACUGAUGUUUUUUUUUCCUAAUAAAUCAAAAACCUAUCAGAGAGCUUAUGCAUUAAGUGAAACUAGACAAAGAAACAAAACAGUGGUCGGUUUAGAAAUGGAGAAACAGCACCAUUCUCCUUUAGGCAGCUUUACACAGCAACAACUGGUUGAUGUGGUUGCAGUUAAACGUUCCUAAUUUAGUUGAUGAUCAUUAUCUUCUUCAAGACCCAACUUAUGACAACACAUCAAUGUUCUAUGGUCUUCCUCAGUACCAUCAAUAUCAUCCUACCAAUUACUAUGUUCCCUAUGUUGCAUUUCAAGCUAAGCCACCAAGUCAGUUACCAUCUUCAAGCAGCCACGGAGUAAGUUCUGAUCAUUUUUGGAUCACACAUGGUGAACUUAUAAAAGAAAAGCACAUAAGGAAUACACAUGAAUCCUCAGUUUUGAGUACUUUUGGAGGCACAAGGAACAUACCAAGAGCUGUUAUUCCUCCUCCUCAUCUUCCAAACAGAUUUAUUUAAGGGAACUAUGCUGGUCAUCAUCCUUUCCCACCUCCUGGCUCAAUCUGGUAUGACCAACAACACCAUGGUAGAUCUGAUGGUUCACCUUCCUUUUGGCCUCUCACACCUUACGUACGUACUAACCGAUGAUCUCUUUUGAAAGUGUUUUGGACUUUGUAAUCUUAUUCAUCUAUCUUUGAAUGGUCUUUUAGGUAGUAACAUUGUCGCUGGUUCUAGAGUCUAGUAGUAGAAACCCUGCACCAUUCAUGAAUCCUUCUCAGUUAAAUCCAAGGAACCAUUAUUAUAGUCAUCAUCAUCCUCUUGUACAAGGAGUGAGAGGUCAGAGCGCCAUAUUGUUCCCUCCUAAGGCUUCUUCUCCUCCCUUAUACAGAGGUCCUACUGUGAACACAAUCAGUAGCGCGGUCCCUUGAGUUCAGAGAUGGGUCCAGUUCAACCAACUGGGUGUAUGAUAUACCAGAAUCAUCAGCGAGAUGAUUCAGUACCUUUAGAAACUCUUAGACAACACCUUGGAGGAGUUCCUCGUCUUAGAGUGAUGCCUGAUGAUGUAGCUAUCUUGCCUUGAUUGUUCUUUCCCAUCUUCUUCAUUCUUGGUUUUGCUCAAUAUUCUGCGUCUUUUGGUUCACGCAAUGUGUUUAGGAAGUUGCAAUAUUUGAGUUUGGAGACUUCCUUGGUGGUUAUGUGCAUAAUCACAUUGAUCAUCAUCGAGAUAUGCGAUUAGACAUUGAAAAAAUGUCUUACGAGGUCAGCCAAUCAUAUUACUAUUAAGCAGCUGCAAGUUGCAUUGUGGACUCUCAAGUCGACAAUGUAGUUUUUUGUGAUCAUGGUUAGGUGUAUUUUUGUUAAGUCUGAUUUGAAAAUCCAUGGCUUUGAACAAGAGCUUCUUGCCUUGAGCGAGCGAAUAGGAACAGUAAACACUGAUUUGCCAGAGGAAGAUGUAAAGAAUCAUCUGAAAACAAGAACAUGUUUUGGAACCAACCUUGCACAAACUAUUGAUAGAGAGACUACACCUUGCAUUAUAUGUCAGGUUAAAGAGAUAUAUCCAAAGAUAAAAGCAUUUAGAAGGCUUCUCUCAAUGUUUAUGUAUUACUGGAAAGCUUCAAGAAGGAAGAAAAGAUUGCAACUUUGGAUUAUGGGCACGAGUAUCAUGCAGAAUGCUUGGAGAAUGACUGAUUGUGAAGAACGUUUGCCCUGUCUUCUAAGCAGAGGCAUUGGUCAUGGGGAAGAGAAACUUAUAACAAGAAGAAGUAUCUUUUUGGUUUUAUAUAUAUAUUUACUAGGGUCGGGCGAAGCGCGGCGAGUGGAUUCGCUAAGUAAUUGACCUGAUUUUUUUAAUAAUUUCUAAAAUGCAAUUAUAUAUAUUGUAUAGGGCAUUAUUUCUAUGAAAUCGCUUUAUAAUGAAUUUCAGUAAAUUAAACCACAAAAUCGUUGCAGUUAAGUAAAUUAUGUGAUAGAUGAUUUGUCUUCUGCUUUUUAUAAAACACAUAUCAUUUAUUCUUUCGUUAUAUAUCACUACAAAAUCACAAAAGAAUAAUUGUUAAACAAAAUGAAUAAUAUUUCAAUCAGAUAUAAAGAAUCAAACUAAAAUAGUUAUUGGAAAAACACAUAAUACUACACUAUAUAAUUUUACUAUUUACUUAAUGUUUAAAAUAAUUUUGAUGUGGUAUUUAUUUGAAAAAUACUUAGAAAUGGAUUGACAUUUGUUUAUGUUCCAUGAUAUACAAUUAAUUAUAAGAUUAACUUUCUUUAAUUAUAUGAUUUUGGAAAAAAAAAUUAGUUACACUACUAUUACUUAUUGUCAUUAUUGCUAGAUAUUAUGUAAUUUCUGUAAAUAAAAACCUCAAAGAAUCCCUUUGGAUUAAAAAUAAUUGGUACCAAAACUGAUAAUAAGAUAAUUAAUUUUUAACCGCAAAUUUCAACAUUUUCCGUCUCUUUUGAUCUUUCUUUUGUUUGAUAUUUUUAAUAUUCAUUCUUCAUGCCAGUGAUUGUUGUUUUUGGGUGUCAUCAAAGGUACAAUAGUCACUUCUUGUCUUACAAAUUGUUUUUGUGUGUUUGAAUUAGAUCAGUUAGUUAAAUCUUGAGCAAUUUUUAGAUAUUCUUAAUCAAUGUAGUGAACCAUUUAUCUUGUAGUUUUAGGGAGUGAGUUGUUUUUAUGAUUCUGUAUUUGAUCCUUUCAGAUUAAAAUCAUAUACAAUAUUUUAUUACUGUUUUUAAAUUUGGGAUUAUUUUGCUUUAUGUUUUUUUUUCAUAAUUUGUUUUAAGGCUGAUGUGUAUUUGUGUUACCCGUUGAACAUGCUUAGACCACGAAGAAGAUCAUGUUGAGACUUCUGUGCCAAAACUGCAAGCACUUUUCUCAACACUCGAUCAAGCGGAAAUCUAUAGAUGAUAGAGAUACACAAAAGGUCUCAAACGUGUUCCUUUGAAACAAUUUGGAAUCAGAAGUGUUCCAUAGUUCAUAAAUCUACACCCAUAGACCACAUGUAUAUUAAAAACAUUCUUUGAGCCAGGUGGGAAAGUGACAUUAGUAAAAAGCUUGAGCCUUGGACUCAUCACUGUUCAAGCGAUGCAAGAAGAAAACACUGAGAAGCAGAGCACUUGAUAAAAAAUGAGACAGCAUGUCUGGCCAAGAGUCAUAGUAAUCAAACGUAUGUCGAACUGCAAGACAUCAGAGACGAAUAACCCUGAGGUGCAACUUCCACCCCCAUACUGAAACGUGUAAGCGCAAAUGUUGUUCUGAGCAGAACAGCCUGAAUUAGAGGACUGAACACCCCAGCUGCAUCUUUGGUCAGAACAUGAGAUUGGUGUCGUUGUUACUGAGCUCCUUGGAUCAAAGUAAGUCAACUGAAUCUGUAAAAAUAGCAGCACAUUAAUCUCAAAUCAGAGAAUUUAAAAAUGAAAAAGACAUGAAAAUCACAAAACAUCACAGUGAAUCACAUUAACUCAAAUCAUAGAAUUUACUAGGAGUUUACUGGUUUGAGGGCAGCCAUU